ACUCAAAUGAAUUGACGGGGGCCCGCACAAGCGGUGGAGCAUGUGGUUUAAUUCGACGCAACGCGAAGAACCUUACCUGGGCUCGAACGGCUUCAGAACGUCGUGGAAACACGAUCUUCCCGCAAGGGACUGGAGUCGAGGUGCUGCAUGGCUGUCGUCAGCUCGUGUCGUGAGAUGUUGGGUUAAGUCCCGCAACGAGCGCAACCCUUGUCCUGUGUUGCUAAUCCGCAAGGAUGCACUCUCAGGAGACCGCCAGCGAUAAGUUGGAGGAAGGUGGGGAUGAUGUCAAGUCAUCAUGGCCUUUAUGUCCAGGGCUACACACGUGCUACAAUGGACGGUACAAACCGCUGCAAACCCGCGAGGGGGAGCUAAUCGGAAAAAACCGUUCUCAGUUCGGAUUGCAGGCUGCAACUCGCCUGCAUGAAGCUGGAAUCGCUAGUAAUGGUAUAUCAGAACGAUACCGUGAAUACGUUCCCGGGCCUUGUACACACCGCCCGU
rnacentral:rRNA from 1 species